CGUGCGGCGGAGCGGGAAGCGGGCGCGCGAAGAUGAGCCGGGACGACAAGAGCAGGGGCUUGAUCGGCGGCGGCGACCCCCAGCACCAGAGCCCGAACUACUACGGAACGUUCCAAGGCGUCGCGAACUACUAUAACCCUCCUCCUCCUCCUCCUCCUCCGCAGCCGCAGCCGCAGCUCCCCCAGCCGGUGAUCGGAUUCCCGCAGCCGGCUCCUCCUCCGGGCUCCCCCGGAUAUCCCCAGUGCUAUCAUUACGGUUAUCAGACCG
rnacentral:lncRNA from 1 species